UGCAUUGUUGAGGAGGUGCAGAGAAGGAGAAAAAGGCAAUUAAUAUGUAUUACUGUCUUCUGCAGGGAAACGUCCCAGCUUCAGCGAGCAAAAGUGUUGUCUGUGUCAGUCACUUCACACUGGACUGUUUCAGCAACCAGGGUCAGUAUCAGGCUGGACUGGCAACGAGAUUGUUCCUAGAAGAUGGAUCAAUACCCACUGUCCGUGGCAAUGCCACAGAAGAAGAAACUCCAAGCACAUCUGUACAGCAGCCUGUAGUGCAUCAUGUUGCCUGCCAG